GGAGAGAGGGUCCUGGUGUGGGAGGGCCCCGAGGAAGAGAUUGUUUUGUGGGGGAGCUCCAAGAGAGAGGAGGGGUCGUGGAGUGGCAAGGCUUGGCAUAGGGGAAGAGGAUUGACAUGGGAGAAGGCCCGUGGGGAGAGGAUUUUGGUGUGAUAGAUGCUCUGGAAGGGGAGAACUCUGUGAUAUUUGGGGAAUUUACCUAUGGGGGCCUUCUAGGAAUGGGCACAGUUGUGGAUUGACCCUGGUGUAGAGGAGUGACUGGAGAAAGGGCCCUGACAGGAAAAAACGAUUAGGGAGGGUAGGGGAGACAAGGACCAUCCACUAAACCGUGGGAAGGAAUGCCUCCCCCUUGCUUCCAUCAGAAGGAGUGGGCCUUGAUUGGGGGUGGGCGGGGGCUUGGAGUAAUGUGGGGAAGGGCCCUGAUGUGGCAUGGGGGAACUGGAAUAUGGUUUGGGAAAUUACGGAGGGGUGGUCCCCAGUGGGAGGAAAUGAUAGGGAAGAGGUCUUAGCACCAUAUGGGGAGGGUCCCCUGGGAAGGGUGGACCCUGGUGGGUGAGAAUACCAUAGGGUUAGGACCCUGUUAUGAAGGGGUCCUCAGAUAACCUUGGUGUGAUCAGGAGGUCCCUGAGGAUCCUGCUGUGGUUUGGAGGGGGCCCAGAAGACUCUCAUGUGGUUUGGGGGGAUCUUAGAGUUCUCUGGAUUGGGGCACCAACUGGGAAGGGUAGAUCUUGAAGUGGAGGGACCUUGCUGUGGUAAUAUGAGGUCAUGACGUUAGGGAAGACUACAGGAUGGUGGGAUCUUGUGUGGGGAGGGCCAUGAGUAGAAAUGGGGAGAGAAGAGUGAACCCUACUCCCUAUACUGUCUGUGGUUUCUCUCUUCUUCUCUUCCUCCCCCGCAAUUAUUCGUGUCUUUCUGUCCUUUCCUGUCAUGGCCCGCAUCCCUGCCUGGCUCCCAAUCAUUCCCUUUUCCAUGUUCCUCUCUUUGUGCUGCCUACUUCAUUAAUUUGGUAAUCAUUUGCUGGGGACUCCGCUGUGCCCCACCUCUACCACUUCUCUCUGUCCCCUCUCUUCAUUGCCGCCUGCUGCUGUGUUGUACCCUUUUCUUCCUCACUCUGUACCCUGACUUCUCUGUGUUGUCCACCUCUUUCCCGCUUGGUACUGCCCAACACAUCCCCUUGUUCCAUGUUGUUCCCCCGCCUCCCGCCUGCUCUCAGGUCUCAGCGGCGGUGGCAGCCGAGGUGCAGGAUGCGAGAAGGCGCCCCCCGGCCGGGCUCCCGCUCCAGGCCUCACUCCCCUGCGGCCCUCUGAGCCCACCAUGGCCGUCCCACCGGGCCAUGGUCCCUUCUCUGGCUUCCCGGGGCCCCAGGAGCACACGCAGGUAUUGCCUGAUGGGCGGCUACUGCCGCGGAGGCUGCCCCUGGCCUUCCGAGACGCGACCUCAGCCCCGCUGCGCAAGCUCUCCGUGGACCUCAUCAAGACCUACAAGCACAUCAAUGAGGUAUACUAUGCGAAGAAGAAGCGGCGGGCCCAGCAGGUGCCACCUCAGGACUCGAGCACCAAGAAGGAGAAAAAGGUCCUGAACCACGGUUAUGACGAUGACAACCAUGACUACAUCGUGCGCAGUGGCGAGCGCUGGCUGGAGCGCUAUGAGAUUGACUCACUCAUUGGCAAAGGCUCCUUUGGCCAGGUGGUGAAAGCCUAUGAUCAUCAGACCCAGGAGCUGGUGGCCAUCAAGAUCAUCAAGAACAAAAAGGCCUUCCUGAACCAGGCCCAGAUUGAGCUGCGGCUGCUGGAGCUGAUGAACCAGCAUGACACAGAGAUGAAGUACUACAUAGUGCACCUGAAGCGACACUUCAUGUUCCGGAACCACCUGUGCCUGGUGUUCGAGCUGCUUUCCUACAACCUAUACGACCUCCUGCGCAACACGCACUUCCGUGGCGUCUCGCUGAACCUGACGCGGAAGCUAGCGCAGCAGCUCUGCACGGCGCUGCUCUUCCUGGCCACGCCCGAGCUCAGCAUCAUUCACUGCGACCUCAAGCCCGAGAACAUCUUGCUCUGCAACCCCAAGCGCAGCGCCAUCAAAAUCGUGGACUUCGGCAGCUCCUGCCAGCUUGGCCAGCGGAUCUACCAGUACAUCCAGAGCCGUUUCUACCGUUCGCCCGAGGUGCUCCUGGGCACACCCUACGACUUGGCCAUUGACAUGUGGUCCCUGGGCUGCAUCCUGGUGGAGAUGCACACUGGAGAGCCCCUCUUCAGUGGCUCCAAUGAGGUGGACCAGAUGAACCGGAUUGUGGAGGUGCUGGGCAUCCCACCAGCCCCCAUGCUGGACCAGGCACCCAAGGCUCGAAAGUACUUUGAGCGGCUGCCUGGGGGUGGCUGGACCCUGCGAAGGACAAAGGAACUCAGGAAGGAUUACCAGGGCCCCGGGACACGGCGGCUGCAGGAGGUGCUGGGCGUGCAGACGGGCGGGCCCGGGGGCCGGCGGGCGGGGGAGCCGGGCCACAGCCCCGCCGACUACCUCCGCUUCCAGGACCUGGUGCUGCGCAUGCUGGAGUAUGAGCCCGCUGCCCGCAUCAGCCCGCUGGGGGCUCUGCAGCACGGCUUCUUCCGCCGCACGGCUGAUGAGGCCACCAACACGGGCCCGGCAGGCGGCAGUGCCUCCACCUCGCCCGCGCCCCUCGACACCUGCCCCUCUUCCAGCACCGCCAGCUCCAUCUCCAGCUCUGGAGGCUCCAGUGGCUCCUCCAGUGACAACCGGACCUACCGCUAUAGCAACCGAUAUUGUGGGGGCCCUGGGCCCCCCGUCACUGACUGUGAGAUGAACAGCCCCCAGGUCCUGCCCUCCCAGCCACUGCGCCCCUGGGCAGGGGGUGAUGUGCCGCACAAGACACAUCAGGCCCCUGCCUCAUCACUGCCAGGGACCGGGGCCCAGUUACCCCCUCAACCCCGAUGCCUUGGCCGUCCCCCGUCACCAACCUCACCACCACCCCCGGAGCUGAUGGAUGUGAGCCUGGUGGGCGGCCCUCCGGACUGCUCCCAGCCUCACCCGGCGCCUGCCCCCCAGCACCCGGCUGCCUCAGCCCUCCGGACUCGGAUGACAGGAGGUCGUCCACCCCUCCCACCCCCCGAUGACCCUGCCACUCUGGGGCCGCACUUGGGCCUCUGUGGUAUACCCCAGAGCACGGCAGCCAGCUCAUGACCCUGCCCCCUCCCUGGGGCCCCUCCUGAAGCCAUACCCCCCCACCCACCCAAUCUGGGGGCCCUGGGCUCCCAUCCUCAUCUCUCCCCUUGACUGGAAUUGCUGCUACCCAGCCGGGGUGGGUGAGGCCUGCACUGAUUGGGGCCUGGGGCAGGGGUUCAAGGAGAGGGGUUUAGGCUCACCUCCCCACUAAGGACUGGACCCUUGGUCCCUUCUCUCCCCUUGUUUUCUAUUUAUUGUACCAAAGACAGUGGUGGUCCAGUGCGGGGAGGGGGAGAUUCCCUCUCACCCCAGGGCCCUAGGAGGGGGUGGGGGCAGGUAGGGGGAGAUGGCCUUGCUCCUCCUUGCUGUACCCCCCAGUAAAGAGCUUUCUCACAUUCCCGCCUGAGCGUUUGCAGGCCCUCGGCUCCCCUCUCCCAGCCCUCAGAGGCGUGGUGGGGAACGGUGUUUGGGGAGGGGGGGGUGCUGGAAGAGCUUUGUCGUGUGGGAUGAGUCCCUGGUCCCUGGGGAGGUUAUGGCUAUUGAUGCAGGCAUGGGACUGCAGGAGGUCUGGGGCUGUGGAAAUCUAGACACAAAUCCUGGAUAGGAUGCUAGCCCACACUUGCUUUUUCUAGGGUAAACUGAGACCUUGAAAGGUAAAGGCCCAGCUCUGGCCUGUCUCUGGGAAACAUCAGGUUCUGCCCUAAUAAGCCAGGGCUUCCACAGAGUCUGCACAGGCAUGGCUCAUUUUGCCAGUCAUCCGGUAGGUGCUGAGUGCAUGUAGCAGGCCUUAUUGGUGCCACCUGGGGAAUGGCAGGCAGGCAGUGGGUACGGAAUUUACCCCCCACACGUCUUGUCUCACUCUUCGGAACCAUUGUGGAGCAAAGCAUUUUAAGAUUCUCAGGCAAAAAGAAAGUCCCGGGGUUCCAGGUAAGUGGGCCUGUUUCCAUAGUAAUUUGGAAACUUCUGUCUCUAACCGGCCAAUCAAGAGCCGUCAGGUUCAAAGGGUAUAGUCCUCCGCCACCGGGGCGCGGGGCUUCCUGGGAAAUGGAGUUCUAUUUGGAAAUUUCUUCUCCCCGUUUUCGUUGCUGAACUACAAAGCCCAGAAUUCUUUUCGCUCACGUGUUUAGGGGCGGGUUCUCAGGUAGCCAAUGGGCAGUCAGAAGCACUCGGGGCCCGGAUGCUUAAGGCGGGCUGUAGAGGAGGAGAAGGCCGUGAUUGGGUGACUUUGGCCAGACUCUGCGGGAGUAUUGAGUUCUCGAAGUCUUGCGGAAGGUGGGUGACUGCGCUGUUCCGGGAGAGCGUGCAGGUUAGGCGUUCAUAGCUACCGAGCAGGAGGUCUCAAGAUGUCUCCUCCUCCAGGAAGCCCCCUUGAUCCCCCAGGGUGGGUCAGGUAUCCGUUUUGGGCUUCUGCUCUCUGGGUUUCCCCCGUCCCAGCCCUGACCAUCUGUGAUGUCAGCGUCUAAACGUCUGUCUCCGGAGAUUGGAGACAGGAUGGCGGAGUAGAAGGACUUGAGCUCACCUCCUCUCAUGAAAACAUCAAAAUCACAACUAACUGCUGAACAACCAUCAACAAAAAAAGACUGGAACCUACCAGAAAAGAUAUUCUACAUCCAAAGACAAAGAAGAAGCCACAAGGAGACAGUAGGAGGGACACUUUCACGAUAUAAAUGUCUGUCUCCCUCUUUAGAAAGGUAAAUCCAUGAGGAUGGGGACAAAGUCUCUUCUGGUCACCACUUUUAUCUCCAGAACCUGGCACAGAGUCAGUAAUAUCUGUUAACUGAAUUAAGAAAUGACAAGUAAGAUGUGGGUCGUGUGCACUUGUAACUCUUGAACUGGACCAUGAAGCCCACUUUUGAGGCCUUGUUUAAUGUGCCCUGACAUCAGCGCAGCAUUCUGAACUGCUUUAACUUUUACUGGGUGUACAGUAGACAUGUUGUGAAUCUCAUCAGCACAUGCACCAGGCGAGAUGUCCAAGAAAGUACGUAAUAGCACUGACAGCAAAACAUCGGAAACAAACCUGAUGUCCACCAAAAGGAGAAUGGAUCAAUUGUAUCUUCACGCAGGGGAACAGUAUGCAGCAGUGAAAAGGACGGAACUACAGGCACGCAAGAAAAAUAAUGUGUGAGAGGAGCAAAAUUCAGAAGAUUUCACAUAGGAUGAUACUAUUUUAUAAAGCUCAAAACCAAGCACACAGAAACAUUGUUUAGGCAUUUGAAAAUAUGUGAUAAAACUGUAUCUUAAAAUAGCAAGGGGGAGAGGGAAUCUUUUGGGAUUGGUUGUACUGUGCAGUUAAAAUGGGUAUAUUUUAUUGUGCAUAAAUUAUACCUCAGUAAAGCUGAAUUAAAAAGGAGAGUGGGCAGAACAGACUGCCUGAUAUACUGUGUAAGGAGGUGAUGCUGGGGGCAUAUGCCACCAUAUGGUGACUCACCUACCUGUCAUGCUGAGGAGGUCAGGCAGAAGAAAGGACCUGAGCCACUUAAUCACUGAGCCAGGUAAGGGACUUUGCUUUCUGUGCUAUGUCUCCAGUUCCAGUUCCAUGCCUGGUGAUUAUUUGGAGCUCAAUAAAUAUAGGUACUUUUAAGUAAAAUUCUUUUGGAAGUAAAAUACAAUUUUCUUAACUGUUUGAAUUUAACAACCCCAAAACACCCUGCCUCUGGAGUGCCUGCUGUGUGAAGUAACGCAUUUCCUUCUGAUUCAGGCCCUUUUGACUUGGAUCCUCUUAUCUGUAGCCAAACACAUCUUAACUGGUGACCGCGUGGUGAGUGAGUUAACUGCUAACAUCUUAGGGGUGUUAAAAAACACAAUUUAUGGGGGGUGGGGUGGAAGGGAGGCUCAAGAGGGAGGGGAUGUAUGUAUACAUAUAGCUGAUUCACUUUGUUCUACAGCAGAAACUAACCCAACAUUGUAAAGCAAUUAUGCUCCAAUUAAAAAAAAAAAUAAAGACUUAAAAAAUAUUUCCCUGGGUAAAUUGAAAUCUAAUUGGCACUAUUUAAAAAUUCAUGAAUUGGGCAGCAUUCUAUACGGCAGACAGAUAUUCCUGGAAGUUACACAACAUGGAAGGCUUUUACAGUAAGGAGGAUGGGACAAGGAAACGAAGUUAUCAGCAAGGAAAAAAUGAAAGUUCAUUGGUGGAAAACAAAAGUUCAGGUGACACUGGCUUCUCACUGGCUGAGCUGUGGUGUUUUCCAUUGGCUGGGCUUGUUGCAAGACAAGAAGGAAGUCUUCCUUCCCCCUGCUAGGGUAGUAAGUAGUUGUGCUUCCUGUUUGGGAGUGCAAGGUACCUCUCUUCCUGCUGGGGUCAGUAACUGGCAUCUUCCUGUCUGGGUAAUUGAUACUCCUCCUGUUUGAGAUAACUGACAACGAGUGGUAGGGCAUGAGACCUCCCUCUACAGGCCUCUCUGACUCCAAUUUUAGUUGGUUUCCUUUUAUUAAUUUUCACAGGGGAUACCUACUGCGUGUCAGGCCGUAUGUGAGGCCCUUACCUGCAUGAUUUCUUUGAAUCUUCACAACACCCCUGUGAGGUGUUGUGGGCCCUCAAAGAGACUACAGAUUGCCAAGCUUGCUCUUGCCUCCCAUUGGAUGCCUCCUGGGUCUAGACACACUGCUGUGUCCGCCCAUCACCUUCAAGGAAUUCCAACACUGCAAUCACAUAUUCACGAGCUCAGCCAACUUCCAGAAACAUGAGUGAUAAUAGUAAUCAGUUACCACUAUUUUAUGUCACUAAGUUUAGGGAGGUUGGGUAAGCAGCAGUAGCUAACUGCUACACCCCCCCUCCCCAAGGAUAACCACUGUGCUGACUUGACCUCUAAUGCCAUAGAUUCUUUUUUUUCCCCAAUUCUUUACUGUGUAUAAAUGAAAUAAUAAAGUGUAUCAACCUCCGGGUUUCCUCUUUUAUCAUGAUCUCUGUGCUUGGACCCAUCUUACGAGGGUUUAAGGAGUGGGCACACACUUUGGCUUCCUGGUGCCCCUUCCUUUGAAGGCGGUGUAGUGGACAUUGGUUAUAUUGGCCUGUCCAACAUCCAUUCAUAUUUCUGGUUGCAGCACCCCAGAUUAUCCCUCACUCUUCAUCUGUGUGUUUGGGGGGCAGCAAAGUCCACCUGCUAGUUCUCUGGGGAUGAGCCCAUAACCUAGGCCUGGCUAAAGAGAAUCUUCCA